UACAGAGGUCUCAACCGUUGUUCGGAUUCAUUGGGCGUAAAGGGUGCGUAGGCGGUCGUGCAAGUCGGAUGUGAAAUCUCAGGGCUCAACCCUGAAACUGCAUUCGAUACUGCGCGGCUAGAGUGCUGGAGGGGAGACUGGAAUUUACGGUGUAGCAGUGAAAUGCGUAGAUAUCGUAAGGAAGACCAGUGGCGAAGGCGAAUCUCUGGACAGUUACUGACACUGAGGCACGAAGGCCAGGGGAGCAAACGGG
rnacentral:rRNA from 1 species